UACCUCAGUAACGGCGAGUGAAGCGGUAACAGCUCAAAUUUGAAAGCUAGCUCUUUUAGGGUUCGCAUUGUAAUUUGUAGAAGAUGCUUCGGGUGUGGCCCCGGUCUAAGUUCCUUGGAACAGGACGUCAUAGAGGGUGAGAAUCCCGUAUGUGACUGGGUGCUUUCGCUCAUGUGAAGCUCUUUCGACGAGUCGAGUUGUUUGGGAAUGCAGCUCAAAAUGGGUGGUAAAUUUCAUCUAAAGCUAAAUAUUGGCCAGAGACCGAUAGCGCACAAGUAGAGUGAUCGAAAGAUGAAAAGCACUUUGGAAAGAGAGUUAAACAGUACGUGAAAUUGUUGAAAGGGAAGCGCUUGCAACCAGACUUGCGCGCUGAUGAUCAUCCGGGCUUCUGUCCGGUGCACUCGUCUGCGCUCAGGCCAGCAUCGGUUUCGGUGGUGGGAUAAAGGCCUUGGGAAUGUAGCUCCUCUCGGGGAGUGUUAUAGCCCUCGGUGCAAUGCCGCCUACCGGGACCGAGGACCGCGCUUCGGCUAGGAUGCUGGCGUAAUGGUUGUAAGCGACCCGUCUUGAAACACGGACCAAGGAGUCUAACAUCUAUGCGAGUGUUUGGGUGUCAAACCCAUACGCGUAAUGAAAGUGAACGGAGGUGAGAACCCUUAAGGGUGCAUCAUCGACCGGUCCUGAUGUCUUCGGAUGGAUCUGAGUAAGAGCAUAGCUGUUGGGACCCGAAAGAUGGUGAACUAUGCGUGAAUAGGGUGAAGCCAGAGGAAACUCUGGUGGAGGCUCGCAGCGGUUCUGACGUGCAAAUCGAUCGUC
rnacentral:rRNA from 1 species